CCCCUCUUCCUCCUUUUGUCAACAGACAUUCCUCAAGUAUUCACUGGUCAUUCGGGGGAGGUAAAGAACAGAUAUUUUAAAAACACAAGCUAGCUGGGUGCUUGUGUCAGGUCACAUGAGACACAG
rnacentral:snoRNA from 1 species